UAUGUUAACAAAAUAAAUGUUGGUAAACUGAGUGCAGUUAGACCGCAGCGUCGCCGUAACUCACGCGCAUAUUCGUGCUGCGGUUAAUGUUUCAGUUUGUGGCCAUAUUUUAAGUGCUAUACACAUAAUAAUUUAUGUCAACGAGAUUCUUAAUCCGCGGCAAUAAAGUGGCAGACUAAAUAAUUUGGGUGGCGUCGACAAACGUCGUAAGUGCAGGUGCGUGGUGCGCGCGCGCGACGUUUCGUGCCGCGGCCGCGUCGCGCAGACCCAUAGAUCCCACGCGCUGUGAGCCCGCGCCAAACUGGUCGAUCGACUCUUGCGCAACUCGGAGACUACAGUUGGUUUCCAAUUUUAUGUUGACCGGUUUCAAAGUUGUCUUAGCCUUCUAAUUUCGGCUCGUUUAGAUUGGAAAAUACGUCGACAAAGAUACGAAAUGAAACUCAGACUGGUGAGAUCGCAGCCAUGUUUUCACUCACGUACCGCGCGCCCGCAUUAAGAUUCCUACCGAUCAUUGUCUGUCGCUGAUGUUAAGUCAUUAAUUAAACACCUUAUGGCAUCGAAAGUAACUUCUAACUUUCGCAUAAACAUGUCUGUUUAACUACUGGUUUGUCUCACUGUGCGUUAGGGUAUUGCUUGCUGACGUCACAUCCUUUUCUAAAGUCCCUCAUUUGUUUACGCAAACAUAAAAUACGUAAACCAAUAUUGGCAUAAUGACCAUAUUCUUAAUAGUUCGAUGUGCAAGACUUCGGCUUAUUUAUUAUGUGACUAGAUGGUGAGGACGAAGGUUAAAUUACAGUUAUAUUCAAGUCGAGACAAAUCUGAUACGAUAUAAAUUGAUCUUCCUAGACCUGAAGUAUAGAAAUAUGAAGUUAACGGUGUAGUAACAAAUCGUCGGAGAUGACUGCGGCUCGCAUGUCGGUGUCGCGUCAUGUCGCGCGACGUCGCGUGUCGCGGGCGGCGCGGGGCGGCGCGGCGCGGUGCGUCCCACGCGUGCCCUGUACAAAUACUGUCGGCGGGAGUCCGCGCACAAAUCAACGCGCUCGGACGUGCGCGCUCCGGACCCCCGGUGGCACGCACCACCAGGGCUGCCUAACCAAAACUGAGUCCUCGGCUGGAGCGAGCUGGUGGUGGGGGUCAGCCCUGCAGCGACCCCCCGGCGCGGCGACAGCGCCAACAUCUCUCACCUCCGGGCCCCGUAAUGAACAAUAUAAAUGUGGCAUUUGGCGGCCGCGAGCCCCGCCGUGCCGACACCCUGCGCAACACUCCUCCACGCACAGGAUGGCAGUCAUAGUGCGGCGUGGUGCAGUCGGUACAGUCCAGGAGUGCGCAACAAUGGCGCGCAGAGGUGGAGGCCGCGAGCGCUUGCGCCACCGACGCGAUUGUCCACUACACGAUCCUUCACCUUCAGCUAGCACAUGCUCCACUUCUUGCUACUGUUUUCAUAAUAACCAACAAUUGCCUUCAGUUCCACUUGAGGAUCAAGUAACUUCUUGAACACUUCUUACACAGUCGGGCGUGGUGUCACCUGGUCGCCAGGGGUCGGCAGCUGGUCCAUUGUGGGGCUCAUCACUUGACUCGCGCGAAAGGGAUGCGUCGCCAUGUGAACCGCUAACGGAAUCCUGGGAAUGCUCCCGCGCAGAUAAUGCGCAACACAACUAGUAUUGUACUACACAAUAGUAAUGCGAUAUACUGCGCUUGUUUUCAACUCUGUACCACAUUUUAUUACCCCGUUAUAAUAAAACGAUAUGGAAAUAUUUAUACCCAUACUAAUUUAUGUCUUU